rnacentral:lncRNA from 1 species
GGCUCAGACAGUGCUCUCUAGCUGUAAUAACGCAGGUCACCGCUAGGGUGCUGCCUGUUAGACAUGGAGACAGUGCUCUCUAGCUGUAAUAACGCAGGUCACCGCUAGGCCUGCUCCUGUACUCGGCUCAGACAGUGCUCUCUAGCUGUAAUAACGCAGGUCACCGCUAGGGGGUCAGCCUGUACUCGGCUCAGACAGUGCUCUCUAGCUGUAAUAACGCAGGUCACCGCUAGGCAUCAGCCUGUACUCGGCUCAGACAGUGCUCUCUAGCUGUAAUAACGCAGGUCACCGCUAGGCGUCAGCCUGUACUCGGCUCAGACAGUGCUCUCUAGCUGUAAUAACGCUGGUCACCGCUAGGGGUCAGCCUGUACUCGGCUCAGACAGUGCUCUCUAGCUGUAAUAACGCUGGUCACCGCUAGGCGUCAGCCUGUACUCGGCUCAGACAGUGCUCUCUAGCUGUAAUAACACAGCUCACCGCUAGGGGUCAGUAGAGAUGUAUCUCCCAGCUGUAAUAACACAGCUCACCGCUAGGGGUCAGUAGAGAUACAGCUCUCUAUAUACCCAGCUGUAAUAACACAGCUCACCGCUAGGGGUCAGUAGAGAUACAGCUCUCUAUAUACCCAGCUGUAAUAACACAGCUCACCGCUAGGGGUCAGUAGAGAUACAGCUCUCGAUAUACCCAGCUGUAAUAACACAGCUCACCGCUAGGGGUCAGUAGAGAUACAGCUCUCUAUAUACCCAGCUGUAAUAACACAGCUCACCGCUAGGGGUCAGUAGAGAUACAGCUCUCUAUAUACCCAGCUGUAAUAACACAGCUCACCGCUAGGGGUCAGCAGCGCACACCCUCCAGCGCUGUAUUCCCUGCAUGACGUGUCCAGGGGUGGAGCUUACAGCCAGGCCACGCCCCCUCACUGAUACCUGGCCCUCCGAUGGCCGCCCGGAUACCUGACUGGCACAGCUUGACUCCCUCAGUGCACUCGGCGCCCGGCCCUUCCUCAGACCCCCCGAGUACCCGGCGGAGAGCAGCGUCAGCCUGCAGCCGUUAUUAUAACGCGUCACAAAAUGGCGGCCGCAGAGCGAGCGCAGAGCCUGCCUGACUGACUGACGGAGCGCGCGCGAACUCUCACCGGAAG